rnacentral:rRNA from 1 species
UGGGGAAUUUUUGGCAAUGGGGGAAACCCUGACCAAGCAACGCCGCGUGGAUGAUGAAGUAUCUUGGUACGUAAAAUCCUUUCGACGGGGACGAAACCGCAAGGUUGACGGUACCCGUAGAAGAAGCCCCGGCUAACUCCGUGCCAGCAGCCGCGGUAAUACGGGGGGGGCAAGCGUUGUUCGGAAUUACUGGGCGUAAAGGGCGCGUAGGCGGCUCGCUAAGUCGGAUGUGAAAACUCUGGGCUCAACCCAGAGCCUGCAUUCGAAACUGACGAGCUCGAGUUCUGGAGGGGAAAGCGGAAUUCCUGGUGUAGCGGUGAAAUGCGUAGAUAUCAGGAGGAACACCGGUGGCGAAGGCGGCUUUCUGGACAGAAACUGACGCUGAUGCGCGAAAGCUAGGGGAGCAAACAG